rnacentral:rRNA from 2 species
GGUUAAGCGACUAAGCGUACACGGUGGAUGCCCUGGCAGUCAGAGGCGAUGAAGGACGUGCUAAUCUGCGAAAAGCGCCGGCGAGGUGAUAUGAACCUUUGACCCGGCGAUGUCCGAAUGGGGAAACCCAGUGCAAUUCGUUGCACUAUCGUUAACUGAAUACAUAGGUUAACGAGGCGAACCGGGGGAACUGAAACAUCUAAGUACCCCGAGGAAAAGAAAUCAACC